rnacentral:misc_RNA from 1 species
CCACCAGCUGUGGGCAAUGGCGGACAACGACACACAUAACUCGAACGGCACAGGUCCGGCCGCCCAAGUGUAAUGGAUGUUUGUGUGUGUGUGUGUCUGAAUGGCUGGCGGACCAUAGGGCACUCUGAAUGCCAUGGCACUGGAUCCGGCCACCAACUAAGGACGAUGGCGAUGGCAUAACUCGAACGGCACAGGAUCCGUCUCUGGAGUGGCGGCUGGCGUUGGCCCUAACGUUUCUUGUGGUGGCUGUGGAGCUGGGGCAGCCACUGUUGCUGCUGCGAUUGUUGGUGGAUUUUGCGAUGUCACUGGAACUGCUGGAACUGCUGGAGUUGCCGUCACUGCCUGGGAUUGGAUGAGCGAGUGCCUGGCUGCAGGAUCCCUCGCAGGAUUGGCGUUUCGGCUUCAUCUUCUGCCGGGAGCGGUUGUUGGCAGGCUGCUGCUGCUGUCGCUGUCGCUGUUGU